rfam:Marine actinobacterium MedAcidi-G1 MedDCM-JTLCOM-C544, whole genome shotgun sequence.
CUUUGUGCUUCAAAAAUACCUGAUGCACAAGCUGCUUCUGAAAGUAUCUCUACCUUUAUUCCAGCUAUUUUGGGAGGUGUUAAUUUCAUGCUCCAUUCAG